rnacentral:rRNA from 1 species
UGGGGAAUUUUGGACAAUGGGCGAAAGCCUGAUCCAGCAAUGCCGCGUGUGUGAAGAAGGCCUUCGGGUUGUAAAGCACUUUUGUCCGGAAGGAAAUCCUUGGCUCUAAUACAGUCGGGGGAUGACGGUACCGGAAGAAUAAGCACCGGCUAACUACGUGCCAGCAGCCGUGGUAAUACGUAGGGUGCAAGCGUUAAUCGGAAUUACUGGGCGUAAAGCGUGCGCAGGCGGUUUGCUAAGACCGAUGUGAAAUCCCCGGGCUCAACCUGGGAACUGCAUUGGUGACUGGCAGGCUAGAGUAUGGCAGAGGGGGGUAGAAUUCCACGUGUAGCAGUGAAAUGCGUAGAGAUGUGGAGGAAUACCGAUGGCGAAGGCAGCCCCCUGGGCCAAUACUGACGCUCAUGCACGAAAGCGUGGGGAGCAAACAGGAUUAGAUACCCUGGUAGUCCACGCCCUAAACGAUGUCAACUAGUUGUUGGGGAUUCAUUCCUUAGUAACGUAGCUAACGCGUGAAGUUGACCGCCUGGGGAGUACGGUCGCAAGAUUAAAACUCAAAUGAAUUGACGGGGUCAUAGCUGUUUCCU